CGCGUAGGCGGCUUUGUAAGUCAGAGGUGAAAGCCUGGAGCUCAACUCCAGAACUGCCUUUGGGACUGCAUCGCUAGAAUCAUGGAGAGGUAAGUGGAAUUCCGAGUGUAGAGGUGAAAUUCGUAGAUAUUCGGAAGAACACCAGUGGCGAAGGCGACUUACUGGACAUGUAUUGACGCUGAGGUGCGAAAGCGUGGGGAGCAAACA
rnacentral:rRNA from 1 species